rnacentral:rRNA from 1 species
GACGAACGCUGGCGGCGUGCUUAACACAUGCAAGUCGAACGGAAAGGCCCUGCUUUUGUGGGGUGCUCGAGUGGCGAACGGGUGAGUAACACGUGAGUAACCUGCCCUUGACUUUGGGAUAACUUCAGGAAACUGGGGCUAAUACCGGAUAGGCGCUCCUGCUGCAUGGUGGGGGUUGGAAAGUUUCGGCGGUUGGGGAUGGACUCGCGGCUUAUCAGCUUGUUGGUGGGGUAGUGGCUUACCAAGGCUUUGACGGGUAGCCGGCCUGAGAGGGUGACCGGACACAUUGGGACUGAGAUACGGCCCAGACGCCUAGGGGAGGCAGGAGUGGGGAAUAGUGCACAAUGGGCGGAAGCCUGAUGCAGCAACGCCGCAUGCGGGAUGACGGGCUUAGGGUUGUAAACCGAUUUCGGCUGUGACGAAGCGGGAGUGAAGGUAAUGGGUAAAGAAGCACCGGCUAAACACGUG